UUGACCUCGAAUCAGGUAGGAAUACCCGCUGAACUUAAGCAUAUCAAUAAGCGGAGGAAAAGAAACCAACAGGGAUUGCCCCAGUAACGGCGAGUGAAGCGGCAACAGCUCAAAUUUGAAAUCUGGCCCCCCCCAGGGCCCGAGUUGUAAUUUGCAGAGAUGUU
rnacentral:rRNA from 1 species